GCCAGAGAGAAUUCUGAUUUCACAGGGAUGCUUGCUUGCAUUCUAUCCUGAUGCCGUCUAGGAAUGCAAAUGCUCAGUGUCACACUGCUAAGUGGAGAAAGGAAAACAAUGGGAACUGGCGUUGAGAAGAUGAAUGCAAGAAACCACACACGGUAUGAGCGCCGUUGCCACGCCUCCAUUCUCCCUCAAUUGAUCCCAUUCUUCGGACCGCGUGGCAGCUCUUACUUCGAAGAAAUAUGAAGAGUAUUUCUUGAACUGAACCUAAUGUAAAGAUCCUCCCAUCAUGUAUGUUCUUUCUUCUCUCAUUAAAAAGAAGAUGAAGCAACAUUAAACCAGAAAGACAAAAUCUCAUCAAUCAUAACAAAAAACUCUCAAAAGCAAACAAACAAGCCAUACGGUCUCUUCUGUGUUGAUGGACUACUGAGCAUGAUGUCUGUUCUGAAUGUGGUCCUUACAUCCUGCAUUAUGCCAGAGUUC